AAUCUCUUCAAAUAUUUUCUUGAGUCCUUUCUCUCUCUCUCUUCUUUCUCUCUCUCUUCUCCUUCUCAGACCCUUAUAAUGCGAAUGUUGUUGCAUUUAAUGUUGUCCCAGAGGUCUCUUAGGCUGUCUUCAUUUCUUUUCAUUCUUUUUUCUUUAUUCUGUUCUGCAGCUAUGCAUUUCACCAUUCUGUCUUCCAGGUCACUUAUCUGUUCUUCUGCCUCAGUUAUUCUGCUAUUGAUUCCUUCUAGUGUAUUUUUCAUUUCAGUUGUUGUAUUGUUCAUCUCUGUUUGUUUGUUCUUUAAUUCUUCUAGGUCUUUGUUAAACAUUUCUUGCAUCUUCUUGAUCUUUGCCUCCAAUCUUUUUCUGAAGUCCUGGAUCAUCUUCACUAUCAUUAUUCUGAAUUUAUUUUUCUGGAAGGUUGCCUAUCUCCACUUCAUUUUAUUGUUUUUCUGGGGUUUUAUCUUGUUCCUUCACCUGGUACAUAGCCCUCUGCCUUUUCAUUUUGUCUAUCUUUCUGUGAAUGUGUUUUUUUGUUCCACAGGCUGCAGGAUUGUAGUUCUUCUUGCUUCUGCUGUCUGCCCUCUGGUGGAUGAGGCUAAGAGGCUUCAGCAAGUUUCCUGAUCAGAGGGACUGGUUGUGGGUAGAGCUGGCUGUUGCUCUGGUGAGCAGAGCUCAGUAAAACUUUAAUCUGCUUGUGUGCUGAUGGGUAGGGCUGGGUUCCCUCCCUGUUGGUUGUUUGGCCUGAGGAAUCCCAGCACUGGAACCUACCCGGUCUCUUUGGUGGGGCUAAUGGCAGACUCUUGGAGGGCUCACACCAAGGAGUACUUCCCAGAACUUCUGCUGCUAGUUUCCUUGUCCUCACGGUGAGACAGAGCCACCUCCCACCUCUGCAGGAGACCUUCCAACCCUAGCAGUAUUUUUUCCCAACAGCUUCCAAGGAAACUGAGGACUAUGUUGCCAGUUGCAGCAGGAUGGAGAAUCUGUGGAGGCUUUUUACACCCUCUAUCUUGUAAAAGUGGAGCCCAAGAGAAGAGAGGUCAAGGGAUUUACACUACUCAGCUACUUCAGUUUUUGUUCAGUGGUAACUCUUCAGAGACAUAUCUAGCAUCUCAAAUCAUCUCUAAGUCUGGACUUAGAUGGCAUAAAGAAGAGCCCUCUGGGGGAGGCUGAUGACUUCAUACUUAAAAUCUAUUCUCCUGGCAACGUUGGAAACUCAGAUAUGUUCCAGGCAAAAUUUCACCCCUAAGAAGUCAUAAUUCCAAUCUUAAAUUCUCAGAAUUUCUAAAGCAGAAUAAUUUUAUACAAAUCUCCUCUCUGCAGAAUCUCUAUUUUUGGUUUCUUCACCAUACUGACUUCUUAAUCAAAGCCUUUCUCCUGUCAUACAAAUUUGCCUAGGAAGUGCUCAGUUCUAAAGGAAACCUUUUCAGUAUAUAUUGGUCAGGAUGAGCUAGUCUAUGCUACAGCAACAAAUUACCCCUCAAUCUCAUUUUAUAACACACUGAAAGUUUGUUUAUAGCUUACAUCAGUGUGGGUUGGUCAACUCUCUUCUAAAAGGUAGUUCAGGGACUCUCAUUAGGUACUCCAUUAGGAAGAUAUGAACCCUGUAGUUGCCAUGAGGAGAGAGUUAGAAUUAAUUGAAUAAAAGGUCAGAUCUACAAGUGAUAUAAAUCAUUUCUGCCUAUAUUCCAUAGCCGCAGCUUAACUGCAGGGGAGACUAAAAAAUAUAGCUCUCAAGUGAGUCCAGAAAGAGAAAAUUAUGUGGUAUUGUCACUGCUACACACUAUAAUCCUUAGUCCCAAGAAGCAAACAUGGAAUUUCAUAACCACAAACUCUAUGAGACAUAUAAUUGAAUUUUUUCUAACUCUGAAAAGGUUUGGAAAUUGAUUUCCCAAUGAUUUUCCUGUAGCCUAGCAAGAUAGGAAAAGCAAUGUAUUGAUUCAUACAUAUAUACCUACCUACCCUUAUUCAUCCACCCAUAUAUUCAUUCAACAAUAUUUCUUUUAUACAAGCAAAAAACAUAUCUGAUUUUUUCCAUGUAAUAGUGCAUCUUAAAGAUUGUUCCAUAUCUAUAUUUAUAUAGAUAGAUACAUACAUAGUACAGAACUAUCUCAAUCAUUUUAAUAGUUAUAGCUAUUCACUAUACUUCCCUAUUAAAAGACAGGUUGUUUCCAGAGAACACACUUAAUACAUCUUUGAAUAUAUAUGCAAUUAUGUAUAGAUAAUUCAGAUUCCUAGAGGCAAAGAGAACU